ACAAGCAGCACAAGGAGGCGGUGUCUGUCACUCAGAUGCGUGAACUCUGACGCUGCAUUUUGUUAUCGGCGUGAAAUGCUGCAGCCUGCAGCGAGCGACGUUCAUGGAUUCAUGGACACCGGGAUUUAGAACGUGGUAGCAGGGUUCGGUUCUUGCGUUCCAGACCAUAGUCACCGGAGUUCCCGUCGUUCCCGGAACGACGGAUCGACGAACGACGAACCGGAAAGGAGAACGACGUUUUAGAUGCAGUUUUUACACCGUGGGAGCGAUUUCGUUCCCGCAUUCCCGUCCCGAAUCCCGUCCCGAACGCUCGUUCUCGGAACGUGGAACGCUACAGCGGUGACUAAGUUCCAGACUAGAAGGCGCCUGACGGCCUAUUGAGUCAUUUUUGCGUUGUGCGGUUAGCUUUGAUCGAUCGGCUCCAAUCUUGGCUCCAUCUUGGCUAUUCUAUUAUCGACAGACAGGGAUGCUCAGGCCCCUGAUGCUUCUAUGAAUUUGUCCAAUCUUCAGGCUUGACUCUUGAGAACGUUAUCUCCCGCGCAAAGAUACAGUAAAGUGCAUCUCCUACCUCCAGCAGUCUCUCUCAAGGCCUCAGGAAAAUAAAGGCCUGGAAUGGGCCCCAGACUCCAACGGGCCGUGCAGUCAAAGCGUCAACGCACAGCAUGUCCGCGUGUUUCCUGGCAUGUCUGCGUGUUAAAGCCGAGCCUGCUGCGCACUGGAAAAUAAAUAAGUGAGGCCUUGUUAAAAAAAAUUAAAAAAAAUCAGAUUUUCAGUCACAUCGAAUCUUGUAGCGCAUGUAUGAAGCAUUAAAUAUAAAUAAAAAUAAUAACUAAUUGUACAAUUUGUAUGUAAUUUGCGAGACGGAUCUUUUGAGCCUUGUUAGUUUAUAAUUGGAUAAUAUUUUUAAAAUACAAACAAAAAUGUUACGGUGUCUAUUUUGAAAAAAAAAUAGAACUAAAAAAACCCAAAGCCUAUGCUCGAUGGCACAUAUAUAUGCUCCCAGCAAUUCAAUUGUUCAAGUGUCAGCAUGAACAUAUAUGACAUCCAAGAUCUCGGUAUGCACUUUAAUCAUCAUUGCAGAUUCAUAAUUUGAUCUACAAAAAAUAAUUAUGUUUUGUUCAUCUAAAUGCAUAUCAAAUGGAAAGGAUAUAGAGAGUGAGGCAACAUCGAAAGCAGUUAGCAAUGCUCACAUAGUUGAUGAGGAGAAAAUGCGAUCAACCUCUAACAAAGAAAUCGAUACCCAAGGGGACUUGGAUGGAGACAAAGGAAGCGUCCAUGUUGUUUGCAACGCUGAAAAGCCUUUACUCGACGUUUUUAUGUCAGACACCUGUACUUUAUUAUGUCAUGUUAUGUAUAAGUGUUUUCUGAAUUAUAUACAUGAUCAUAUAUAAUUUGUGUCAUAUGCAACUCUAGAAAAAAAAAUCGUUGUUUGAUUUAUUUUUUUUUCAUACGCAUCUCUGAAAUAAAGCCGUGGCAUUAGCACGCGCACUAUACUAGUAUAAUGUAUAUGGAGGACUUUAUGGAUUAUUGCAUGGAUAAAACUGUCUUUACAAGAUCUCUGUGCGCUCAAAGAAAAGAAAAUAUUUUACACUUUGUACAAAUGAUUCAAACAUCCGUGCUUUCUUUAUGGUGCUGCUCCUCUUCCAAUUUCUCUCCUAUAAUUAAUAGCUCUUUCGGAUUGCAUUGUUGCAUUGUUUCUCUUCUCCCAAUAAAUUUAUAUCUAUGAACCGUUCAUGUGUGUAUUUUCUUUUCAAGAUUUCACUAUUUAUCACAUCAAGUUCUCUUUCAUAUAACACUACAAAAUCCAUGCAGCAACACGCUAUCUAUUCAGUUGAAAACAAAGGUGCAAAUAUUUUACUCUAGUUAGUAUCGACAUGACCAACUAACUGUGUUUUGAACAAAUAAAAUAUAGUUCAUGAAACUUAAUCUUAAGAAUCAGCAUUAGGGAAGAAGGAGAUAAAAUCAAUACCAUGAGGAGAUCCAACAAGGCGCGAUGAGGUGCUGGCGUUGUAUGUGGCAACUCACGGUCUCACGGAAGGGAAGCGGGCAUGGAUGGGGCGAUGACACAAAUGGGAGGCAGCACAGAAUGACGACGCCUUGGAUGAUCUAUGACGCAAACGAGGGAUGACAGCAUGGAUGGUCGGCGGCCGCACGAAAAGAUCGUAGCAACGUGGAUGGCCAACAAAUCCCUUGGGCAGGGCAAGGCGGUGGCGGUGAUAGGGAUUGGGAAAGCUAGAGUGCCGGGAGCAUAACCUUGGGGUGCGGCGGGGCGGAGCGGGGAGGAGAAGGGGUGCCGUGCCCCAAGCGGAGGGUAGCAGUGGGACUAUGAGAGCGUUGUUUCUUUUAGUCCACCAUAUGCCAACGUCAUAGAAAGAUUGCAUAAGCCGCCAAGCAUAGUCGAUUUCACCAUCAUGCGAUGUUACAUCUUUUUAGUAGUAGAGAUAUGGAACAAGGUUUUUAAUGACCAUUUUUGUUUUAUGGAUUAAUAAUUUUAUUUUUCUAGCUAAUGGGAUUCUUUUUUAGCAAGUAAAAUAUGAAACAAUCUUGGCAUAAGAGAAACACAUUUGCCAUUGUUAAUACGGUGCUAGUGUUAAGAAAAUACGUCACAUUUUCGUAAGAGAAGCACCGGUAUGGCACAACCUCAUGGAUGCGAUUCUUCUUUACAGUGGCCAGAAACAUAAAUCCUCAUCUGAGAAUUGAGAUACUUCUGGUACUACAGCCAGCAAAAGUUUCACAUGCAGAAGUCACAAGUGUCUAACCAAUCAAGAGAACUAUACACAAGAAGGAUAUACCCAGUCAACCCGAAGUUUAUAGCCGCCAACCUCGUAGCCAUUGAGCUCAACAAUGGCCCUCUCUCCAUCCUUACGUUUCUCGAACACCAGAACAGCAAACCUCAUACGGGUUUCAGACUUGCAGGAGCAUAUGUCAUUGAUAUACUUUGGCACAUCCCACAUCAGCAACGGUCUAAAUAGGCCGAAGAGCUCCGGAAUGUGCCAUUCCAUGAAUCCUGGCGGCAGAUUGGUCACGCGUAUAAAACGCCGCAAGAACUUGCGCCGAGCCCGAGAGGUAAUUCUAUGUUGUCUAGGACCAGGGGCACAAUCUCCUCCGCAGUCUUUAUGGGCCAAUGAGUCUUUGUGGGCAAAUCGUCCAUACAUGUAGUUGUAAGGACAGAAGCGCUCGCAAUGGCUUAACAUUCCACAAUUGUAACAAUUCAUUUGAGCUGGAGACCUCGCGUAGGCCAUCCUGGUAAACCAAACCGUGUCACGCGGGUCUGUUGUCAACCACAAACACAAAGAUAUAAAUUAGACUUCAUGUUAAAAAAAUGCAUAGUCCAUGGAGUUAAACAAAAAUGAAAUUUUGUUUUCGAUACUGCCCCUAUUUUCUUUUGUUUUUUUAUAUUUCUUUUAAUAUUUUGAUUUUGCUUUUGUUCACUGAUCACACUGGAAUCGACAAUUUCGCAUUGAGCAUCCACUAAAAAAAAGGUAAAAAUACAACGAUAUAGAAAUUAAGGUUUACUCCAAAGGAGCAUACAUUAGUAAAACCAUCCAAAAAAACAUCCAAAAGCUGAAUAUGUAAAAUCUCACUUGAAGACUGGCAAUUGUUUGUGUAAUUAUACAGAUUUAAGAGCAAAGUUAAAAUAGCGGGCUAUUGAAAAUAGCGAUAACUUUUUCUCAACAACUACACAGCUAUAGCAUUGCUAUAGCGGUGUUAUGACAGAUAGCAUUUUUAUAAAAAAAGAAAUACAUGAAAAAACGAGUAAUUGAUGAAAAAGAUAUGGUAAAUAUGAAUUUCGAUGAAUGAAAAUAUGUUUUAAUGAGUCUAGGUAAUAUUACUAAAUACCAAUAUGACAGUACAACAUGGUUGGCCAAAAUACCAAAUUAGUUGCAAAUAAAAAAUGAUAAUCUAGUUUAAGAUGAGUCACACUGAGAAGAUUUGUCGUAGCGGUGCUACAGCGUGUAAUAGCGGAGAAACUUAUCAUAGCAAAUGCAACUUAGCGGCACUAUAGCACGUAAUAGUGGUGAAAGUUUUGAUAGCGGAAAAAAUACAAAUAGCUUAGCGGUAAGCCUGUCUAGCAGCUAUAACAUCGUUAUAGCCCGCUAUUUUAUUUCUUUGUUUAAGAGAAACUAUUUUUUUUAAACAAGAUUUAAGAGAAACUGUGCGAAACGAUUACUAAUAAUAAGAAACUAAGAGGAGAGAACACACCUUCCACUUCAAAUUUGAACGUGUCCUGGAUUUUUCCUGCAAGCUGGUUUUUCGACAUCUUAUUUCUCCUCUCCGUAUUCAACUUGUUGCCUCUCUAUUCCACCGUCCCACGGUGAAGGACAUGAUCACCCUCCUUUCUCCUCCUCUCUUCCCCUGCGGUGCUGAAGUUGGAGCGGCGACAGGUCCUCUCUUCACCUGCGGUGCUGAAAGGCCGGAGCGAGACAGGUCAGAAAAACCUAGGCGGGCGGCGUCGGGACGACCAGGAGUCCCUCCAGGAAUUAUAUGGCAGCGGUGGGGCGACGGCGCUAGCGAGUAGAGAGUAGGAAUCCCUAUCCAGCAGGCCCGUUUCGAGGCCCGGUCCGCUCGGCAGGCCUGGGAAAGAAAGCUCCUCGGCCCAGAGCCCCAAAUCACCCGCGUCAUCAUAACUAGUUAACUAGUUCUAGUUGAUGCUAAAAGGUAUGAUGCCUUGACAGUAGUUACCACAAUAAAAUUUUACGUAUAUUACAACAUGCUCCACUUAUGAUGCUAAAAGUAAUUCUGGAUUUUUUAUAUAUAGUUGUUAACUUUUUAUUAUAUAUGUUAUGUCUAUAUUUUCGAACGGAUGGAGCAUACACCAAGGUCAGCGAUUACAAGACGCAGGCGAUGAAGCCAUGAAGGCCACAAUUUUGUUAGCGGUGAACCUUCUCGUGGCGCCACUGGUGUCACCACCUGAAAUCGCAGAAAAAAUUAAGGCUUAAAAAAAAGGUGACAUGUUGAAGAAGAGACAUGUUCCUCAAUUUUCAUAAGAAUAUCAAACUUCACGAACAUGCAUAUUAGAUAUACCAUGAGGUUUGUAAGAAGGCAAGCUGAUACGCCUAGGACAAGAGCUGCUCUUUUCUACCGUCUCAUAUUCUCUGUCAUUUUUCUCCAUUUUUGCAGUCGAGAGGCUGAAAGAAAUAAGCACAACCUGAGUUGCCGUAACGAUCCUCGCUCACAGAUGAACAAAGGAGACGCUCCAAAAGAGGUUCUGAUAGUGGCAACCAGGUCAGUCACCAGAUACUUGCCGCCAUCAUCUGCGCCCACGCUGAUGAUCUUGCUUGCCAUCAUAGCCUGACGCACGACGCGUAGUCAGCAACACUAUCAUCAGUAUUCAUCAGCUAAAAUGUGCCAAACAAGAUGUGAACAAAACGCUAGUCCUCUCCGUAUCAGUCAGAUCAGAAGUGCCAUGAGUGUCCAUGAAUCUGAAUUGCUGCGUUGCUUACUGUAAUAAUGCUAGCAGUCUAGCAGACCUUUGCCAUGUCGAAAUCUGGGUUGUUGCAGCAAGUUGGUCCGCCCCCUUGGGCAUAAUUUGGCCAGAGCCCGUCUGUGAAAGCAAAAAAAUGUGUGAUGGAACGGCGGAGCAUGCAGAGCACUCUGCAAUUCUACUAGUGGUCGACGAAAGAAGAGAAGACACUUACGAAUUGAGAACCAUCCGAUAGAGGGAUCAGAGCUGCCGAAUUGCGAAGAAGAACACAGCAAACAUGCAUUUCGAUCAGUGCCCUGGAUGAUGAAUUUGUUGGUGCACGAGGUACUGGUUUCCGAAGACACAGCAAGUGUACCGACCGGCAGCAAGCAUUGGAUGAGCAGCAUGGGCCGGCCGCCGCCGGCGCUGCUCCGUCUUAUUUGAAAAUUAUUGUCCAAUUAUAGACUAAUUAGGCUUAAAAGAUUCGUCUCGCAAAUUACUCUUUAUCUAUGCUUUUAGUUUCGUAAAUAGUCUAUAUUUAACACUUUAUACAUGUGUCCAAACAUUCGAUGUGACAAACGGUAAACUUUACCGAGAGCAACCAACUGUCACUCAGAUGCGUGAACUCUGACGCUGCAUUUUGUUAUCGGCGUGAAAUGCUGCAGCCUGCAGCGAGCGACGUUCAUGGAUUCAUGGAGGAGAGAGCUCCACCGGGAUUUAGAACGUGGUAGCAGGGUUCGGUUCUUGCGUUCCAGACUAAAGGCUCCUGACGGCCUGAGUCAUUUUUGCGUUGUGCGGUUAGCUUUGAUUGAUCAGCUCCAAUCCGAUCAUCGGUUAAGUUCUGCUCGCUCCAUCUUGGCUAUUCUAUUCUCGACAGACAGGGAUGCUCAGGCCCCUGAUGCUUGUAUGAACUUCUCCAAUCUUCAGGCUUGAGAACGUUAUCUCCCGCGCAAAGAUACAGUAAGGCCUUGUUGGGAUGUAUUCGUAUUCACAUCAAUCCACAUGUGUUGAGGUGGAUUGGAGUAGAACUUAAACUAAAUUUCAUCCCAAUCUACACCAAUACACAUGGAUUGAAGUGAAUACGACAACAUCCAAACAAGGCCUAAAGUGCAUCUCCUACCUCCAGCAGUCUCUCUCAAGGCCUCAGGAAAAUAAAGGCCUGGAAUGGGCCCCAGACUCCAACGGGCCG
rnacentral:lncRNA from 1 species